rnacentral:lncRNA from 1 species
GUCCCGGUAAAAGCUGACACUGUAGCUAAUUCUUUUAAUUAGGUUGUCCCAUCUUGGGUCAGUGGGCUAGACGGCUUUGAAGUUUGCUUUGCCUAAUUGCACAUGAGUGUUUUGGACAGAAAGCCUGCUGUUAGUGGGCUGGGAGGGCUCGAGGAGGGUUCAGGCAAGUGUCUGCCCAACCGCUCCACCUGUAGGAAGGUGGAGGAAAAUCCUUGGGGCUUCUCAAAAGGCUGAAAUCCUUCGGGUUUUUUUUUUUUUUUUUUUUUUUUUUUUUUUUUUUUUUUUUUUUUUUUUUCCAGGAAGGGCUUGUUGUGGCUAUUGCACAGCUGGGCAGGCCUUCCUGUGUACUUCUUCUUUCCUCUGACUGAUGCCAGCCAGUAGCCACGGCUGGCUGGUAGCUACUGCAUCUGCACCGACUUGAGUGGCCCCUCUUGAUGGAGAGGUUGAUAGACUCUGAGGACAGGAAGGAGAAACCUGCAGAGUCAUCACGUUCUGCAGCAGCUGAAGCCACAACUGCCUGCAAGACACAGAAGAGUGGAGUUGGGGGGGUUGACUUCCUGAAGCAGCCUUGCCGGUGCUGUGGAGAGCAAGAGAAAUCACAGGGAGUCACUCCACAGGCUGCACGUGGACGUCUCAGGAAUGGAAGAGGGAAAAGCGCAGAAACUGUCUGUGGGAGAAGUUGCAUUCCGUACCCUGAACCUCCACGAUGCAAAGUUUUUUCUGCCUCCCUCCGAGUUAUUUUGCUGUCUUGACGUAUAUCUAACUCCCAAGGAAAAGACCUUGCUGACUCAGCCUGGAUCCUUUUAUGUUGAGUCACCCCCUUCUGCUUCCAAAUUAAAAGGCCAAUAAUUGCCUGUUUGUGAAGAUUCAGACAAUUGCUGCCUUAUACCCUCAGCGUGAGCCACGAGGAAUUCCUCCUCUAGUACAUGAAAAGAUGAGCUCAAGUGAGAUGGUUGUUGGAGACUAAGCUGUUGGAUAAGCUGCUCUGCCCUCCCCAAGUGGAACCAGGGCUCUGGAUAUCUGGAUCUGCCAGAGCACGAUAAACCUUGCAGGGGUGCUGCAUUCUGAAGCAAAGACUGCUCGUGCCAGAUCUCAGCUGCAGUUAAGAGCAGGAAUGCAUCUAACAUCAGGCACAGGACAACCCGGUCCUCUCCUCUGCAAGCUCUCUGUGUCUCAUGUCCUCUCCAACGGGUGCUUACCCCAUUUGCCAUUCUCAGCUCCAAGUGCUAGGGCUGCCCCCGCGCUGUGUUGUAGCCCCAGACAAAUCUGCUCCCCCUAGCAGCAGCUGCGCCCCCCAGAUGUGGAUGACUGAACAGUGCUUCCCCUUCCCAGGGCUCUGCCUGCCCUUCCCGUGGUCUCAGGCCUUCUGCUGUGAUUGCUUCUGCCUGCUAAAGCUCGAUUCCCAUUGCUUUUACUCUUGUCAACCAAGAUUUAUUAUUCUCAAGAGACAUUAAUGCAGAACGUGAAUCCCUUCAUACAACCCCUUGACGUCUUUUGGCUGCUACCUUGCCCUGGGGCAGGUACAAUCUACAGGUACUGGGGCAGGUACAUCCACAGUAUGAGGUGGGAGGAAGGAGAUGCUUAAGACAGUGAGCAAAGAAGAGUUCCCUUCAGAAAGUCAGGGUGCAGCAAGUCAGGGGCCUUGCCAGCCAGGGGCCCUCUCCCACAGCCCCAGGUGAAGCAAGCAGGGCAGGCCUGGGAGCAGCAGCAGGCUUCACCCAGGAGCCCAGAUCAUCAGAGAUGUUUGUGGUGACAAGAGAGCUCCAAGCCCAAGAGAGAAAGUCCAUCCACAGGUCAGGAUCAGGAAUGGUAAGGGCAACCAGUGUCAGGCACCAUCCAACAAUCAGGCAGGCAGCAAGGAGGCAGACCUGAAGUCAAGCAAGGAAAUCAGUCUGUGGGUCGAGAUUAACAAGAUUAAUGGCCAGGCACAAGCAUGGCAUGGGUGGGCUGGAGGCAGGAACUGCUAACAGCAGAACUCACGUGGGGACUGAAGAGCCAGAGCUGAGCAAACGUGGGGCUCCUGGGCCAUGGGCAGAGGAUGGAGGCUCCAGGUGAGACUGGUUAGAGCAGUAAGUGGUGUUAGCGCUCUCAGGGACCUCACAGACAUGUGCUGUUCCUGUCUCUGGUUUCUUGGUGGGCUUGAACAAAUCCUCCCUUGUGUUUCCCACCUUACCUGAGUUUCAACUGGAAGAAACACCAGUACUAUCUUCUUCUCUGAAGCUUCAAAUCAGUAGAAAGGCGCAGAAAACACAGUUAUUUUUCAGUAUACUUGUAAGUACAAGCUGUGCACCUAUUGUGGAGCUGGGAGUCACAAGGGCUCCUCCACGCAAGUAUCUUUUUACUGUUCACGUGAGUAAAUUCUCAUAUUUUCCUCUAACAAGCUUCUGAGUAUUUCCGGCAGAAUUCCUGGGAGAUUAAACAUCAUAUAAAAUGUAUUUGUCUCACGCAAGAUCUGACUUGCUUUUGAACCAUCAGCAAUCAUCCCCGCAGUUGCUGGGGUGUAGAACUAUAUUUUUUAUUGUUAUUACUACUUUUCUACUUUCUGUCCUGGAUCUUGUAAGAUACCUGUCCUAUCUCUAAUUAUGCUAACGAGGUCCUGAGGUUGAUUUAGAGGCUCUGUUAUAAUGCCAGCCUCUCAGUUUACAUCUCAAGUAUCGGCAUGUUUAUUGCAGAUGUCUGUUAGGAGCAGCUACUUUUUCUGUGCUUGUGUGCAGAGCGAGAGACAGAGCUGGAGGGGAGUGGUACGAAAUAACCCACAGAAAUGAGAAAAAGCAGCUAUCUCUGCCAUAUCUGCAUCUGACUUCUCUGCGGGGCACGGAGCCUUGCCUGUAGCUUCUUUUGGACGUAUAACAUUUAGUUUCAUAUGUUCUUUCCCCAAAUACAAAACAAAUUGACUCAUGAAAGAACAGUUCAUUCCUGAGGGCCAGCACCCUGUUCGGUAUGUUGAUAACUUUCCAGAGCUGAUGUGUGUAUUAGUCACCCUUGCUGGUUCACUGCUGAUCUGAAAGACAGAGGUUAAAUAAUUGCGAAAGCGAGGUUGAUGUCAUCGUGGCACCUGACUGAAGCUGGUACUUGGGAACUGGCGAAAGAGAUGCAUUCGCUUUGCUUUCACCCAGGAAAGGGCUCGCACUGAGCAGUGGUUCUCCCCCUUCCCUGAGACGUGCCAUCCAUUCCCAAACCACACACGGGUGAGCAUCAGGCAGAGGUGACCUGCAGACAAUGAGCCCUCUCACUGCAGUCCUUUUUUUCUCUUAUUUUUCCUGACCCGAAGUGGAUCCUGGAGGUUUUUCUAAAUCAGAUGCACGUGUGCACAUUUCCAAGGGCCUCCCUCGUGUCCCUGCACCGUGCACGUAUACCCCAGCACGUAAGUCAGGAUCUGUUUUGUGUGUAUAAGUAGACAGGUGUGUUGCACAGGCCUGUUUUACUGACAAUAUUGUGUAUAUCAUACACAAGCUAUCAUAUAUCGUACGGGCUUGUAUGGGACUAUGGGCCUUUUCUGCUUGUUUUUUAACACCGAGACUACGACUUGGCGCUGUGUGAGACAUUAAAAAAUAAAGACAGGCCCCGUGCUAAAGAGUUUGUACUCUAAAUGUCAGACGGAGAAAAGACAGGAUGCACUGUGGUGAGGAAGAUUUCUGAUGUGUUUGUAAUUUAAAUAGGAAAAAAAACUAAACUUGUUUCACAGGAAAAGAGCGCGUGCAUGUUUGUUUUUCAGAGGAGUUUAGAGAAGAACAAGCAACAGUUUUGUGACAGUUUGCUGGUGGAGUGGUUUCUCUUAACACCUGCGCAGAGGCUCGGGAGAAGGAAAUGGGGCUGUGUGGUCUGCGCCUGCUGUUCCCCUGCCCCGUGAGUGAGAUUCAGCUGUGACCUGUGAGGGUGCAGCCUGGAGCUGGCCCGGCCUUCAUUGGCACACGUGCCAGUCCUUUGCUCCCUCAGCUCUUCCCUUUGGCUCCAUUGCAUUUGUCUGCCCCUGUGUCUAGCUCCUAUCCUGCAUUGUGCUUUCUGCUUUUAAUGAGAAGGGUCAGGCAGCAAAGCAAAACUUCCAUGCUGUGAUCACAGGAGAGGAGCUAGUUAUUUGUGUCCCAUGUGAGGCCAUGAAAACAGGAGCCUUGCAGCAGGGCUCUGCAGCAUCCACAGCACCUUUGCUGCUGCCAGCUGACUUUCUGUAGCACAAGCCCCUUGCAAUGUUGUUCUGCAUCAUGCCAGUGAUGGGCAGGCCAGAGAAGUUAGGAAUGAGUGCAAGGGGUACAUCUUAUCCUUUUUUGGGGAGCGUGGUUUUCCAGGUCUAAAUCUCCUUAAUCUCUGUGUCGUCAGCAUUUUUAUUAUACAUGUACGUAUUUGUAUUUUAAGAAAAUGAAGCGCUGGGUGUGGAUAUGUGCUAAUACUAAAUAGAAGACAUAACCAUACGAAGCUCCCUAAAGCCUUAUAUUAAAAUACCAGCAGCGCUUGACUCCAAAGCACCGGGCUGAAGAGGUAUGUGGAGAAGCCUUGGUCCACUUUGCUGCUAAAGACAGAAACUUCUCAUGGGCUCAUUUCAGAGCAGUAGGGCACACAGCUGUAAGCAGGAAGGUUCUGUGGGUCAUACCGUCUUAAUGACACACUGACACAGCUGGAGAGCUCCUUGUGACACUGCGAGGUUUCAAUUCCACACCAGGGAGCUGCCUCGAGGUGCUGGAGCCUGUUAGGUGCCUGAAUUCCCAUAGUGGUGUCAAGAGAGCUAAGCUGCAGAUCCCAGCUCAUCCAAACCAUCUUCAUCUUGGCGUUUUCUCUGGUUUUACUGCAGAGAGAGACUCGGUUUCCCUGGCUUAAACUUACAGUGUGUCCAGAGGAAGUGUGAACAGCACAGGGGCAGUUUCUGUGGCCCUGUGAACUCAGAAUUCAGCGCAGCUCCCCAGAGCGAUGUGUGUAUGUAAGGACUCCACACCAAGCACACUACAAUUCAAUAGCAAUUGCAGCAACGACGUUCGUAGCACUUGCAAAAGGAAGCAACUGCUGACCACUUAGCAAAAUAAAAUAAAAUACACCACCAAACCCCCAAAGGGCACCUGGGUGGAAGACAGAAGCAGUGCAGCGAUAAAGCAGAGCACAGGGCAGCCCUCCUGACCCUCUGGUACCGGCCGCUUCCAGGUGCCUGCAGCAAGCACACGGCUCAGGGCUGGUGCAGCAGGGAGCACACAUCUCCAAGAUGGGGCCAGCAGCUGGUGGAAGCAGCUGUGUCCUGGGCAGCUCACAGCAGAGUUAGGGAGGUGGAAUUAAACCAUCCUUGCCUGUCUCCAGGUUUAGCCACAUUUUCACUCUUCGCUCAUUACCGACAACCAAAGCAUGCUUUGGAGCUUAGACUGGCUAAAAUACAGAGCUGGGCUGACCACAGACUUCUUCUACAUCCAAGGAUGGAUGAUCACCCAUGUGGGAAACAGCUAUGUGAUUAAGGGAAGAAUCCCCUUUUUGGAGGGCCAAUUUAAAGAAAUGUCAUUUCUGUUAGCAAAUGCUGUGGUUUUUUUUUCUUCUUGUUUUCACAUCUGCCACCCCUGAAUAUACAAUUCAAUCCUGUAAAUGUGUUAUUGAAAGGAGUAUUUAUGACCAG